AGUGGCGCACGGGUGCGUAACGCGUGGGAACCUGCCUUUAGGUUCGGAAUAACUCAGAGAAAUUUGAGCUAAUACCGGAUAAUGUCUUCGGACCAAAGAUUUAUCGCCUUUAGAUGGGCCCGCGUUAGAUUAGAUAGUUGGUGGGGUAACGGCCUACCAAGUCGACGAUCUAUAGCUGGUCUGAGAGGAUGAUCAGCCACACUGGGACUGAGACACGGCCCAGACUCCUACGGGAGGCAGCAGUGGGGAAUAUUGGACAAUGGGCGAAAGCCUGAUCCAGCAAUGCCGCGUGAGUGAUGAAGGCCUUAGGGUUGUAAAGCUCUUUUACCAGGGAUGAUAAUGACAGUACCUGGAGAAUAAGCUCCGGCUAACUCCGUGCCAGCAGCCGCGGUAAUACGGAGGGAGCUAGCGU
rnacentral:rRNA from 1 species